GGGCCGUUAGCUCAGUUGGCUAGAGCGCUGCACUUGCACUGCGGAGGUCAGCGGUUCGAAUCCGCUACGGUCCACCA
rnacentral:tRNA from 1 species